rnacentral:tRNA from 1 species
GCGGGCGUCGUAAAAUGGUAUUACCCUUGCCUUCCAAGCAAGCGUCGCGGGUUCGAUUCCCGCCGCCCGCUCCA